rnacentral:lncRNA from 1 species
AUAAAUAUCAUAAAUGUACUUAUUACAUAGCGGAAGUCUUACAAAAAUAAAUGAUAAAAUAAAGCGAACUAUAUAUUAUUCCCUAGCGCCACAAAGCUGACUGGGAGACACCACCUAGAUCAAGUCAAAAGCCUCAGUGCUAGGCGGCUCCUCUUCGACCACCUGUUCUUCUCCUGUGGGGGUGUGAGACAGCAAGAGUGAGCUCACAUACGUUCAUAGCUCAACAAGUCAUGGGGAAUAAUGUGCAUGAACUCACCAAAGGUGGGAGUUCAUGUGAAGUGUAAGGCUGAUCAAAAAAAUAAAGGCUGAAGGUGAGCAUUGCUUUUAUAAGUUGGUCAAAAUUUUAUUAGCAGUUACUAAGUAUAAGUAAAUACCAAACCUUAAUAAUAAUAAAGAAACGUAAUAAAUAAAUAAUCCCAAUGCGAUGCAAAUGACAAAUUGAGUUCUAAUUCCAUAGAUUAAUCAUGUGAGGGUCCGAGCUGCUCAUGACCGUGAGCACGGCUAGUAUACCAAUUUUACACUCUGCAGAGGUUGCACAUCUUUACCCACAAGUCAUGUUACCCAGCUGCCAAGAGAUGACCAAUCCCAUACACCUCUACCGAUGAGGCGAGGCAGGCUAACACUACGAGGCCUUUACAAAGUUCCACUAGCUUCAGAAAACCCGCUACAAUUUAUAGGAAGCUCCAGUGCAGGAAUCCCUCGCCUGACUGCCAUCGCAACAAAAUCAACCUAAGGACCUCCCUACACUGACCACUCCCCUACUGCACUUGCCCCUUUUGGGUAAGGAAGUCAUCCCCUAGCUUUCCUAGUUAAUCAGCCAAGGGCAUCCCAUACUACCCUUGUGGUAGCACUGUUUUCCCGGGUGGUCGCGCCAUAUUCCCAUUAACAUAAUGAUCUUAACAUGAAUAGUAAUAAUAAACAGAGAAGGUGUAAUCAUGAAUAAUGUAUCUCCAUACCCAAAUCCACAUAAAGCAAUAGAAAGUACUACCCAAAAAUAUUUCAGUGAUAAACAAGGUAUAAAGAUAACCAAAACUGGGGUGACCUAAAUGAUCCCAUCAAAAUUAACCUAUGCAGAUCAUUAUGAAUAAUAAAGACAUGGCUGGGUAAAAAUAAGUGAUCAAGGGCAUAACUUGUCUGACACUUGAGAUUCCAGGUACCAACUUGCUUUUCAGAGGACUCGUGACCUCGCGCUAGUCGUGGCAAUACAUACAAACAUGGUAUAGGCAGAAUUAACAUCACACCAAACAUAAGAUCAAAAUAUAUAUUAAUAAUCUACAUAUUAAAAUAAGAUCAUAUGAAUUGGAAUCGUUAAAUUUGAAGUUAUAGAUUUUAAGUUAUGAAUUUCUAAAGGUUUUAUGUGUUUUUUACAAGAUUAAAUAGGAUACAAAUUUUAUUGUGAUAUUCAUGUCAAAACAGUGGUACUAAAUGAUAAAAAAUAAUAUUACAAAAUUAUAGGAAUUGGAAUGGAUUAAUUUGGACUUAAAAUGAAUUAAAUAUGAAUUUUCCAAGUUUCUAGAAUUAUUUUUGUAUUAAAAACCCAUUUCUAUAUCUAUUUCUCUAUUUUUAUUCUUCUCUGGACUGGGCGCACAAAAACUAGAAAAUGCAGGGGCUUCUUGCGGAAAAAUUCUCAAGACUCAGACUAUUCUGAGUUGGAUGGCGGGUUGAAUACUGGAAACUCGGGGUUUCUUUUGUAAAAUCUACGCAGCGAAGGGGUACGCGGCCAUCUGAACCACCCGAUCACUGAUCAAGGGCCCAGAUUAGAUUGCACAUCCCCGUGAACCGGUACGGCACAUGGGCCGAUGGAUCAGAGAUCUACGCCUGAUAUCUAUCCACGCCACUUAUCAGAUCAGGGCCCCCAGAUCCGCGAUCGACGGUCUAGAGUGAAGCAUCGAACCGGUAUGCGUAGAUUUAAUCUCGCGCUUCUAUUCCAAUCGGACGGACUAUAUAUAAUCUGAAAUCGCUCUAACCUUAGUCGCUGGCCCAAAAUCCAAUGGCUAGGUGCCUAUCUUCUUUCCCCAUGCCAUUCUGCCGCCCAUCCGACAGACGGCGCGACCCCAUUCACGGCAGAGGCAUCACCGGGGUUCAACAAUCCCACGACUAGGCACCCAAAAUCAUAGCUAAUCCCGAGAUUUACAAAGAGGGGGAACAAGCGAGCCUGCUGGCGACAUUCUCACCGGCAAUCGGGUGGCACAGAGACCGGACCACGGCGAGGCGCGGGUGUGAGGCCGAUGCACACACCGACGAGCGAUUUCGGUUGCCUUUCUCCCUUGGUGAGACCCCAAGCACGCGCAGAGCUUCCCAGGGAAACCCACAUGACCCGCUCGAGGUUCCCAUGUUGCCGUAGCCACAAAUCACUGACAGCGACCACCUCUGCCCAGUUCUUGCAACCACGGCGGCCCUCGGCUUCCACUCACUCUCUCUCUCUCCGCUCUCUCCCUCAUAGUUCUGUUCGGCCACCGAUGUAGACUCUCCUGAAGCUGGGUGUGGGACAGAUUUGAGGAGAGGAACGCGCAGCGAAGCUCCUUAUAAGGUCACGGGCGAUAGAGCCGCGCCAGAUCGAAUCCCCAAUGAUGCGGUCAAAUUAGUUGCGAUUCUCUCAAUGUCGCGGCAAUGGUUU